rnacentral:misc_RNA from 1 species
AAUAAAAAACAGAAAAAGAGUUAAAAAGAGUUCUAUAUAUAUAUAUAUACAUAAUCUGCCUCUCCAACAAAACCAAAGCAAUAACUGUGUUUUGUGCAAUGGAGUUGUGGACAAUUCCCAGAAGAUUUCAGGUGAUGAUGAUGAAUGCUGUCUUAGCAAUUGGCCUUUUGCUAUUUCUUUGUACUAGUGGAGUUGAUGGCAGAAAAUAUCCCAAAUUGGAUUGGUUUGAGUAUCCAGCUAUUAGUUGCAGAUCUCAUCAGGCAUCAUUGACAGAUUUUGGAGGAGUUGGAGAU